ACGAGCCAUGUAUCACAUGCAAGUUAUUUUCAAAGAAUAAUAUGAUAUAACAUCAGCGGUGUUCCUCGAGGCCCCUCAACAAUUAUUUAAUCACAGGUAACAGUUGCCUAACUACGAUGAAUACAGUCACAGGUAUUCAGACGGACAAACAGAUGCCAGUCUUGCGCAACCCGCGAUUUCACCGGAAGAAAAGGAUUUGUCUCCCCUGGCACGCGGGGAGCGUUCGCCCGCCGGCCGACGUUGCUUAACCCUUCACACGCUAAGUCACCGGCAAGCGCCAAAUACGGUCGAAGGUCUGUGCCAGUUUGAAAACGGCGCCAUUAACGGACUACACACAAGUUUUAAAAAAGAGAAAUCUUUCUUACAAGGGAUGAAGGCAUUGUAAACAGGAUCUAUCAGGCAGUAAAUGACGACGAAGGGGUCGCGCCCGCUGACUGCUGUUGUAAGAAGUAACAGGUCUCAUGGUUGCUGCCAUUAUUUCGCCCCCAGCAGUCCGGGGUCGAUGCUUUGCGAAGUGACGAGAGAGAGAGAACAGAAAAGAAAAGGAAAAAACGAUUACCUAUGUGCACCAGUCAAGAAGGAAGCACAACAACGGAAUGCUCCAUUUCAGAUGACGAUGAUGACAGCAGCGCCACCCAAUGGAUGUUGAUAACCGUCUUCGUGUGGCUGGGCAUGAUGGCACUCGUCUGGCUCAUCUACACCUGCAGAAAGGCCAGCAGACGUCGACGUCUGCUAAAAAACACGCUCGUGCCGCUGUUGAAACUGCUGGGACUAAACGUGACAUUCGUCGACGACGCGCGUGACGAGGGCAGGGGAGAGCAGCCUCCUCCGUACGAACUGGUAACAAAUACCAGUCAUCGCUUCGUCGGUCCUCCCACCUAUGAGGAGGCUACGGCGGGGUUGGUGAUGGGUCGUGACGUCAGCGUGCAGGAUGACAGUCGAUCUAAAGCCUCCAACGUAUCAACGGCUCCGCAGACGACACCGCUAGCGUUUUCGAGCAUCUCCCAUUGCCUUUCGGAAUGUGACACAACACAAAGGCUGGCUUCAGAGCGACACGUCACCGACCACCACGCCCAUCUCACUGCGGGUACGUCUUCUGGUGAAGAGAGGCCGGGACAAUGAUUUUUCUUUGUUUUUUUUUUUUUUAUAUCAUAUAUAUAGGUAUAGAUAAAGUUCACAUUUAAAACGUAGGAAAACUAAAGGGCUGAUGUAAUGUAAUAUUUGUAGGUGCGUAUCUCAAGAAUGUAAGAUAAAUAUUACCUCCAGUUUUAGGGAAAUAUUAUCUUGAACUAAGCUUAACCAAAUGUUUAAAAAAUAUUGCACCUCACAAGACCUUUAACACACACCGACAGCAAAACUAGUUAGUUGAUUUAGUGUUAUGGUUAAAUUUAUUAUCAAAUUCGUUUAAUAUCUUACUAAAUAUGAACUAACGCCUUUCUGAGUUUGUCACGGCUCGGGUGGCACUACAACUCGCACCAGACAAAUACCCUGUAAUAGACAGAAUGUGGGUCCUGUGCGCAAUGGCUGUGCUAGCAUACAAUCAUCUUGAGCGGUUGAGGUCUUGACUUGUAAAUAGGUGGGAAUUUAUAGCCUGGAAGUGGAACUGGCCCUCGGGUGAAGUUUACUUCCUGCAGGGCUAUUACAUCUGGAUGAUUACUUUUAAUGAAGUUUAAUAGUUCAUGUUUAUUACUAUUUAGUGCCCGGCUGUUCCAUUGCAUAAACUUCACUUGCGUGCUAACCAUGCAGUAGUAAGUUCAUCAGUCCUGACAGGGUUUGUAGCAUAGUUAUCAACACUGGCAUUUCUCUUGCUUUUAGAUUUUUUAUUUUCCAUAAUCUUAUUGCUGUAUUCAUUUACUUUCCUCAUUAGAGACAUGACGACAUCUGAAAGAUUGUCACAGGUCUCUGUGUAGUUUGUCGAGUUUGCUGCCUGAGGUGGGUGACUGUCUUGGUUAAUGGUCAUUGUCAUUUCAGUAGUCUGGUUUACCACGUUGCGGUCAUUAACUGGCUCUGUAUCAACUUCUUCUAUGGGCUGUGAGACUGGGACCAGUUCUUGUGGUGGUGUAACUGUCUGAGGGUCCGGAGGAGGAGAGGUUUGCUGUUCGUUCGUGGGUUCCUUAGUGGGUGCUGUAGCCUGUCUAGUCCAGUAUCAGUCUUUGGAUGAGUUCAGAGCAUCCCGGUAUGACAUUUGGCCGGCCGCGCUGAUCUGGCUAACUUGCCGAUGGAUAAUUUCAAGGGCAGCCUCCAUACCGAGCGCUGUGGCCGGUGGUGCCACAAUUUAUGCAGGUAAAGUCCUUAUUUUCCUUGGGCGAUACCCGGCCUUCAGCUGGACAAUAAGGGGUAGGACUGUUAUACAGUUAUCUCCCCUGGCCGUACUUUAAUUGCGGCCACUUACACGAAAAAACAAAACAAAACAAUAACAAAACAACAACAACAACACCACACACACACACACACAAAACGAUUGCCAGCUCAUGACUCUUUUCAGUCACCUUGGCGUUGACAUCAGCACCCAAACUGAGGAGGAUCUCUCUUUUAUCUUGUCUUUUUACACUUACAGCAGGAGGACAAGACUAAAAAUUUGUGAAACAAAUAUAAACGUAUGUUGAAGUCCUUAUGUAUGCCACCAUCCUGCAAUAUGGCCCGGGAGUAUUCUUGUUUGACAUCGUUGCUUCUGUCAUUGCUUUUCUCACAUCCGCAAAUGUGUUGUGCUAGAUUUCUUCGUUGCACAUCUUUAAUAUGCCGACCUCGGACAACCUGAUGGUUAUUCCGGAUAUACUCUGCAUUUGCAUGAACCCGGAAAUCUCUGUAACGUUUUGUGGAGAGUACGUUACAAAUGUAUGCGAGCGUGUAUAGACAUCUACAUGUAAAAUCUCGCUGGCCGAACUCUUCAACCUUUUUCAAACAAAAAGGAGCGGCCAACAAUUAACACAUUUAACGUUUUUUUUUUUUUUACAAAACGAAUGGUAAUGAAAUGAGAAAGAAAACACUAAAAGUGUUCUAUUGCCUACUGUCUACACACACACUAUAGGUGCAGAACUCCGACGGACGGAUGAGUUAUAGCGAAGAUGGUGUAUCGUCGAUGCGGUCUGUUGUCCUGCAAAUUAUAUCCCAACGAAUCGCAAGCUGUAUCUCGUGUGCUGAUGUAGUUGCUCUGUUCCUCGUCGGUAGGAAGGUGUCGUUCAGGUCUACCCUUCGGUAGAUAAGUUUAUAAGUGUGUAUCUUCCUCCAGGUGACUUUGGACAUGUAGCAAGGGUCUAAAGACAGUAUUUAAGGGGCGUUGUUCGCCUUGGGCAAUAAGGGGUAGGAAUGUAAUACAGCUAACUCCCCUGGCCGUACGUUAAUUGCGGCCGCUUACAUAGAAAAACAACACACACACACAAAGCGAUUGCUAUUCAUAUCUUAUUCAGUGUCAGCUGAACGAGUAUCUGGGUGUGUGGUACUUCUAGGAAAGAGCAGUCUUUAAAGCUGAAUAACAAACGACAGAGACUGAGUUCCGGUAUUUGCAAGGGUUAAAGGUAAUCAGUUAUUACAGCGUAAUAUAUAGUGUAUAGUCACUAAAGUCUUUAAAGCUACGAAUAUAUGUGGCUUAACUUAAAAAAAAAACUACAUUUAAUCUACGGAGACCCACGAAGUAUUCCAAAUAUCUGUUUCAGCCGAGGACGUUUUUCACACUUUUUUUUAAAUCAAAAAUUGAUCAUAUUCUCAUUAGCAAAACCUAACAAUAACAAUAACAAGCAACUUUAUUAGUCCCAAUGGGCAAUUUAAAUGGGAGGUGGUGCUCUGUUUCUAUUAUAUAUUAAAAAAAUAAAGAAAUUAAUAAUAAUAGUAAUAAUAAAUAGAUCAUUCCCAUGCACACCUACACAUCACACAUCACAUCGCAUCACACUUUAAACCUGCUGUUCACGCCUCCCUUACUGUAAUGGGCAUUUGCUGAAAGACUUACAGAAUCGAAUCCUUUUCAAAAUGAAUGAUCGACGUUCUGUCGAUCGCACUUUUUUCUUGUCCUAUUAUACUUAUAGCGGGAGGACAAGACUCAAUAUUUGUGAAACAAAUAUAAACGUAUGUUGAAGUACUUAUGCAUGCCACCUUCCUGCAAUAUGCACGGAGAGUAUCCUUCGUUGUCAUCGUCGCUCCUGUCAUUGCUUUUCUCACAUCCGCAAAUGUGUUGUGCUCGAUCUCUUCUUUGCACAUCGGCAAUAUGCCGACCUCGGACAACCUGAGGGUUAUUCAAGAUGUACUCUUGAUUUGUAAUUACCCGGAAAUCUCUGUAACGUUUUGUGGAGAGUGCGUUACAAAUGUAUGCGAGCGUGUAUAGACAUCUACAUGUAAAAUCUCGCUGGCCGCACUCUUCAACCUUUUUCAAACAAAAAGGUGCAGCCAACAAUUAAAACAUUUAAUGUUUGUAAAAAAAAACGAAUAGUUGAAUGGUCAUUCCUGUCUUCGCCGCUAUUGCACUCUGCGGUUGGUAAACCAUCGCUGGAUGGUAGAACCACAAUGUUAAUAUGUGUCUCUGAAGUCGGGGCUGUUUAGUUAGCAACUAGUGGACUAGGUUUACUGUGCCUACCUGAACUUUCCUUCUUGUUAAGCCAGUCCGCCUGGCCAGCAAUUGUUGUGUGGGAACACUUGGAUAUUUUGAGGGUUUGAAAUAUUGUUCUAACAUUUCUUUUUGCCACGUUUUUAUUCUUCUUCUGCUCUCUCUGGCGGGUGGUUCUGCAACAUGAAGUAGCAGACAAGGCUUCAGGAUGUGUGUGUCGAUGAAUAAGAUGUUAUAAGACGUCACUUAACCUAACAAUAAUGACCGUGAUAAUUACAAUGACCUUGGUUAAUGAAAUGUACAGCUAAAAUAACACUGGCAAUAAAAAUAUAAUUGCAAUUGCAGAAGCAAUUAUAACAAUGACAAUGACAAUUUUAAUGACCAUGACCAUGACAAUUGUUCAUUAACAAGGGUAGGAAACAGCUAUUCUUUAUUCUCGCCCUGAAGAGGGAAAACCAUGUUUUCAAAGUGAGAAUAUGAAAGAAGCAGCGGGUUGAACAUUUAAUGUUUUUUAAAAAAAACGAAUGGUAAUGAAAUGAAAAAGAAAACACUAAAAAGGUUCUAUUGCCUACUGUCUACACACACACUAUAGGUGCAGAAGUCCGACGGACGGAUGAGAUAUACAAUACAAUACAAUGCAAUGCAAUGCAAUACAAUACAAUGCAAUGCAAUGCAAUGCAAUAUAUCUUUAUUGUCUAUGUCUGGUUGGAACAGAGAUAGAAAUUUGUCUUUGUUGCUGGGAGCUCCCACAAUCAACUGAGAAAAAUAUAGCUAAUAUGGUGUAUCAUCGGUACGAUCUGUUUUCCGGCGACUUAUAUCCAAACGAAUCCCCAAGCCGGUUACGUCCAAACGUGCGUAGCGUUAAAGCUGAAGAUUGAAAUGUUUGAAGUCCAAGGCAACACACGCUGUAUCUCGUGUGCUGGUGUAGUUGCUCUACUCCUCGUUGUUAGGAAGGUGUCGUUCGGGUCUACCCUUCGGUAGAUAGGCCUUAACAUCCGUUGUAAUGUGAUGCAUCUUUAGUCUAGAGAUCAAGAUGGCCGCUCCUCGUUGUGCGACGUCUGCAGCUCUGAACUCGAUUUCGCUUUUUCUACAUUUUUCAUCGUUUUUCGUCUGCCCCUGUGUCGGGUAGUCGUUGAGUGAUAGACUAGGGUGUCGAACUGUGUGUAGUGAUGAUGAUCUUACGCUCAGUCUUGUCAGUAGUUUCAUUUUGGAUGGCUGUGACCGUUACCACUAGCCGACAAUAUUAAGAUGGCGGUCAGCUUAUUUAAUGCUGGCCCCCAUCUUCAUUACUCCGCGAGCUCUUGCUUCGUCUUAGUUCAUCUCCCUCUGUUAUCCGGAGUUUUAGGGCGCUGGAAGUCGACAUUAUACGGCUCCCUCCACUUCGCAAAUCUAAAAGGAGAGGACUCAGAGGCGGUGUGAAGCGGAGACAAGCAGUUUCGUCUGGAAGAUCAACGCAGGUCUCCACCUCUUCCUUUUAUCCUGCUCUCCAAUGUCCAGUCGAUUUGUGGCAAGACUGAUGGGCUUGAGGCGUGGGUACACAACUUUCGACUGUUCAGGGAUACUUGUUUGCUGGGGUUUACGGAAAUAUGGCUCUACAAAGGUGACGCUGAUCUGGACAUCUCUGGUUUCUCUGGCUCGUUUCGAUCAGAUAGAUCUGCUACCAUUACUGGCAUGAGGAGUCUGUUUCUAUGUCAACAGCAGGUACUGUAAUACGGUUAUUAUUCGUGAAAGGAUGUGUCCUCGCGACCUUGAACUUCUAACGAUUUCGCUUCGCCCAUUUUUACCUCCCGAGAGAAUUCCCCCAGCUGUUUUUCACCCUUGUGUAUAUUCAUCCCAGGGCAAAUGUUUCCAAUGCGUUACAGUGCAUUGCAGAUGUGACUCACAAUAUCGACUCGAUUUGUCCUGAUGCUCCUAUGUUUAUUUUAGGACAUUUCUGAAUGAAUGAGACAUGAAUAGUUUUGUGCAUGCAAUUAUGAAUUUUAAUUUUAAUCGAGCUGCAACAGAAUUGCCCUCUGGGACAAAUAAAGUCAUAUCGUAGUCGUAGUCGUAAAACUUCGUGAGUCUGUCCACAACACAGACCUCCCGCUGUAUGCCCUCUCGUACCAAUAUAGACACUACACUCCUCCUUUACCUUCACUUUUGUACUUCUCAUUCCACCUUAAUUUUAUUGCUGGUUUUAUUGCUAUUCUUCUCUCUGCUGGUGAAAUAGAGAUGGUGAGGGUGGUGAUUUUAUGAUUGCUAGUUUGUUUUACUGCCAGUUUGGCUAGUUUAUCGGCUUCCUCGUUUCCUUUUAACCCAAUAUGGGAGGGAACCCAAAGGAACCUGACAUCUCCAUUUUCUUUGUUAAUCUUGUUUAUGAGGGACAAUAUUUCAUAAACAAUGUCUACUCUGUUUGAUGAUUGGUUUUGAAGAGCCUGGAGUGCUGACAGGGAGUCCGAUAGUACGAGGAAUUGUCAUCUUGUGGUGUCCCUCAGUUUGAGGUGUAUAGUCUCUAGGGCUGUCUGUGUGGCAGUCAUCUCGGCUUUGAAAAUGGAGGUGUGGGUCGGGAGUUUGAUGGAAAGGUUUAUGUUGUCAGGACAUUAAACUCCCAGCCCAGUUGCUUGCGUUUCUGGGUCGUGGGGGCCAUCUGUGUAUAUCUGCGUGUAGCCCUUGUAGGUGGUGCCCAGUUUGAGUUUGAUCUCUGAGGUGAUUAGGUGUUGAUGGUCCUCUUUGCUAUAUUGAGUGAGAUCAGUGUCUAUUUGCAGGGAAACGUUCGUUUUCCUAAUUUAACUAUCGCCUCUACUUCUUUUGACCAAUCAGGCCACUAGCAACUAGGUAACUAGGACGCUGCUUAGCGAUCCUUCGUGGGGUCCAUGCCGACCAAUCAUAAUCUCUGUACCGUGUAGUCGGCAUAGCUCCCACCUCAGUUGGCCGCAGUCGCCGUAGUUACGCCUAUCACAACUUUUCCUACGUCAAAACACACCGAAUGACGUGAAAUAAUCCGCGGGGAGAUUGCGUCAGCAUUCGCGUGACUGCUCUCCCUUGGUAUAAGAUAAUACAUGUACAUGCCCACAGGUCACCGGUAUAAAAAUAGACGGUCAUAAUAAUCAACUAAAUUAAAUGUUAAACGCCCCCUUGUCUUCUACAAAGAAAAAAAAUUGUUGCUCCACUGUAGAAUACUUACCGCUGAAUGGGGAUUCAAAAUAUAGCUGUUUUCAUAAAAAAAAAUCCUGCUUACUAUUUUCUAAACAAAGUUCUUGCCGUUGCAAAAGCGGUAAAACAUAGUCACGGUCGUUCUCAUUGUUUCCACCACAACGCGAAACUGCCCUGAUCUGAAACACACACAUCAGAAUAAAAGCAAAUGUUUUUGUUCUAUAUGUUUCUGGAUUGCCAUAAUUUAUUGUUAAGCAUUAAACAUAGUAUAGAUGGCAUGUCAGUAUUUCUUUUUAAAAACUGAAAUUAUAUUAUUUUUUUUCUUUUCAUGCCACCUCCACCAUUAGCAACACCACCACAAAUUUUAAAAUAGAAACAAAUUUACAAGCCAAUGUUUUAAUAAAAGUGGAUAUAAAUUGACGAAACAAGGUUCUCCUCUAAUUAAAAUUGAAAUGAAUAAUGAAGGUUGACCAGCAUGCUGCAAAAUACGAUUUAAAAUAUUCAUGUAAGAGGGAGGACCUUCAUCACACGCUUGGCUGGCUGUCUGCUCCCCAUGACCUCUCGGAGCUUCCACGUGCGCUCCCUUUUCUUGCAUAAGCGGUCCAUCGCUUGUCCACCAGCCACGUUCGACCCUGAGUGUUGGAACUUUCGCAUUCCUUUUAAGGUUACUACAUGAUAAGGAGAAAAAUAAUCACCUUCAUGAUUCAUUGAGAACUACAAAUUACUAGGUGAGAGGGAAACAUUGCUAUGAGGUGCUGCAGGGCAUUUUUAUGUCCAGCUUUCUCUGACGCAGGCAUAACAACAGUUAAACUAGAGACAUAAUUCUAUAGUGUCCCGUAAUCAGGGCUGGUGAUAAACGUCUUCCACUUACACCUUCGAAGAGUUAUUUACUUGUUCUACUUUAGUCACAUGCAGCGCCUCCGGACAGGAAGCCACCCGAGCCCUCGACGACUCUGACGUAACCUGAAGCCUAACCUUUAACCUUUGACCUAAUAAAAGAUGGAAAAGAAACUCUUUAGAACAGAAAUUGCGAAAUAUACCCAGAAGAUAGCAUUCUCCUCCCCCACCUCAUUUCUUUCCACCCUUACACGCCAGUAAUUUACUUUUGGCACGUGCGACCUUUGACUCAUUGACUUAUGUCCUUAUGUCUCGGGACUUUGGGAACAGCAAGUAAAGUAUUACAGGUGCAGGAGUUGUUUUUUUUUUUUUUUUUUUUUUUUUUUUUUUAAAUGCAGACGGUACCUAUUUCAUUUUUAAAUCUUUGCUGUGUUUUGUGCCUGGGUCAAAAUUAAAAAUGGAUUGUGAAAGCCUGGGUUUACGAUAGAUUUUAUAGAAAAAGUCGCAUUUAAUUACUGCUAUUUCCAGGAUAUUGUUAUUGUUGUUAUUAUUUUUUGAAGACACACGAUGAAGUGCGCAUGCCUAAGCAUUCUGUUGGCUGUCGCUCGUGAGUUUACGUCUUACGACGAAAUCAUUAUUUGACACAAUGUUACAGUUCAUGUCUUGGAAAAUAAAAGAUUUGUGAACCAA
rnacentral:misc_RNA from 1 species